rnacentral:misc_RNA from 1 species
AAUAACAAAAUAACUUUUUCCAAACUACUUUUUUUAAAAGCAUAUAAAAUGGUGCUUUCAUUCAGAAAAGCAGUUUUGGCCCUCCAAACGCAAUGUCAACAGGCACUUGGCAAAACAUUAUGACCAUUAUCACUUUCACAUGAACCAGCAACUGUAACAAUCACUGAUAACAAAAUCGUCACACACAAGCAAUAAUAAGAAGAAGAAAACCUCUAUCCAGACAACAGCACUAGAAUAUGCACUGUACAAUGUAGGAUCAAUCCAUAAUUAAUCAAUACAGAAGUGCGUACAGUGAUGAGUGAUUCAGGGUCCAAAUUACAACGCUGUAUAAAAGCAGCCACUGCAGCAGGAUUUUGACCAGGGAGAACUUCAAGGACAUCACCAACUUCAUAUUUGAUUGCCUGUACACAAAGAGGAACAUGCCAAGAAGAGGACAACAAAUUUAACUCAUUCAAGAUAUAAUAAAAUUCAGAACAUGACAAGAAUGACUUACAGAUGAAACAAAUUCAAAUUCAAAAUGGCGCACAUCUCUUCCACAGCCUGCUCUAGUCAAUGGUUGAUUCUUUACCAUUUUAAGAAAGCAAUCAGGCUUGCUCUUGUCAUGAGAAAAUUUUCCGGGCAACAUUGAGCGAGCCCUUUCAAUUUGCAUUUGAAUACUUUUUAAAUCUGUAGCAGUAUAUAACUGUGAAUCCACCAUGUCAGUUUCAUAAUAGGUUAUUUGGAGUUUAGGUUGAUCGAUCAAUUUUGAUUCUGGAAUCACAAAAUCAGGACCUUUUGGGAAGAAUUUGGGAUUGACUUGAUGCAGUGCACGCCACAAGGAUGACAUCCAAGGAUCCAAUGCACCUUCAUACCCUGAUGGGUGCUGAUCAUCUCCCAAACCUCUUUCAACAAUGGCUGCUGCCCCAAGAUCUGAAAGUCUUCUGUCAAGCUUCUUUGCCACAAAAUUAUAUUUUUGGUAACCAGAAUCACCCAAUCCAAAAACAGCAUAAUGAACUCCUUCUAGCCAAUGCCUAGUAAGAUUUUUCUGCAGCAGGAACCUCCAAAAAUCCUUCAUGGAAUCUGGUGUGUCUCCCUGGCCGGUGGUAGAAACAACAAAAAUUACAGUGUCUUCUUGAGGUAAAGAAUUAGCAUUGAAUUCAUCCAUAGAACAAAGAGUGACAGGAGAGCCUCUGCGCUCAGCCUCACGGCCAAGUCGCUCAGCUGCAUCCAUAGCAUUUCCAGUUUGAGUUGCAUAUAGUAUCACCAACUUCUUAGGUUUCUCCUCCAUGACUUCUAUAGUUUCUUUGUUUUCCUCUUGUGCAGGAGGAGAUGUUGAUUAGGGUUUCUGCCUAAAGAGAAAACAGCAGUGUUUGUACUGCAAGUGAACAGAAUUUUUAAGGCAGUUGCCACUUGCGCUCUCUCUGUUGCCAGACAGACCCCAGUUUCGUCACUGCCACAAAGCUCUUCUUAGCAAUCUUGCUCCGGUUCAGCAGCACGAGGGUUUCUGGUGUCCACUUCUCUUUUCCAGUGUGAACUGUGAACAGUUGGCGUCUUCCUUUGGUUCUGCUUUGAACAAAACAGUCCGUGGAACUUUGUUCCACAAUCGACAAUCAAGGAGCUUAGCUUCGGACAGUCGACAAUAUGGCUUCGACAAUCUAGCUUCUGGGUGGGAAGAAAUACUCUGGGGGUAAAACAAUUGAAGGAAGAAAUAGGUUCGGGUUUGUACUUCGG